rnacentral:siRNA from 1 species
AUGCCGAUGUCUGCCAAAGUUCCA